GCGCAGAGACGUCUGGCGCACGGCGGAGUCCCCGUCCGGGAGGAGGGUAGCGUACAGGCUGACCGGCAGAGCGGCCGGGGGCAUUUGCUGACCGAUAGGGCGGCCGCCAGCGAUCUGGGGAGCAGACGGAGCAAAUCCGAGGUCACCGCUGCAUCCCCGUGCUGGGAGCCAGGACGGACCUGCUAGUGACAGUGUAAGAAGCAGGAGAAGGGGAAGCGGGCCCCUCACAAUUGCGACAGGGUUACGUGGGUCAUAUCUGCAGCUGCUGGAGAGCAGGAGUGGUAAUAAUUUAUCCAAACCUCCGUAUUCUAGCUGAUCUUCAUCUCUGAUCUUAAAAGCUUCACAGGCUGAAAGAGAAUUGAGAUGAGGAAGGAAACAGAGGAUGCUGAUGAAUAUUUCCAAUUACCACCCCAACUUAUGUCUUGGCUCUUCACAUCAAGCCAGAGCAGUUUCUUUGCCUCCGGAACCUGCAGACUGACCUCUCGUGUGUAUCUGUGGUGGACUGAGGGUAAUGUUUGUAACACACACUGAUGCUGUAUUCACUGUAACUUUCAGAAAAGAGAGCAAGAAGCUAACCUGCAUAGCAGUUGCUUAGGUUUCUGUAUGUAUAUAUAUAUAUAUAUAUAUGCAUAUAAAUAUAUAUGCAUAUAUAUAUUCAAUUAUUUAUUUACUUAUUUAAAGGUAUCUUUUGUUCUCUAAAAUGAAUCCUCUGACUGUUACUAAUGUAUGGGACAUACCUUGACACUAUAACGGUGUAUAAAUACUUUUCAUCUCAUCCUUGCUAUUGUUACUGUAUUUAAAAAAUAAUUGUGAAUAUAAUUAUCUGCUUUUAUUAUUUUUUUUUUUUUAAAAGCAUAUAUAUACAUAUUCUAUUAUAAAAUCCUAUAAAAAGGAGUGCCAACCAGAAGGGAUAAACGUUCAUUCUCCUUGACUUUCCAUGUUCCAUCUGGGACAUAGAAUGGUUUUUCAUCACUUAAGAGAACUCAAUGUCUUUUUGUGAACUUUUUGUGAACUUGCCUUUGUUCAACCAAGUGAAUCAACAGGUAUAGCUCAAAAAUUAUAAUGCAAUAGAUGAAGAGAGCAUUUGUAUCAAGCCCUUUUUCUUUAGGAAAAGAUGUCUCUGAAAAGCUAUACUAAGACAUAAAAUAACACGUAAGACAUAAAGUCAAGUUUGCAACAGGAAGAAGCUAAAUACAUUAAAGAACAGCUACACCUGCAGCUGCUGACAGAGAAUGAAACGAGACCCACUGGGUCUCUCAUGCUCUCAGUGCAUCACACAAGAACAUCCCAGCUGCAGCUGCUGCCCCAAAAGGCAGUGCUAGCUAAAAGGCUCCAAUCGUUAAACAUGCACAACAAACAGGAUGUACACACACGUCUUUUUAAGAACAGCUGUUUUCCCCAAACCUGUUUGUGAAAUUUAUUUCAUGACUGAAGGUAGAAAACUAUACAUGCUCAUACACUAAUGUCAUCUUCCAAUUAAAACAUAUUUCAAACUAAGCUUUGGAAACUCACUUUCUUUACAUCAGGAACUGAGUAACAGUGGUUGUGCUUCUGUGACAGCAGCUACGUGCAACCUUUCAUGCAGCUGAAAGAACAAAGCAUCUAUCAAAACAGCGCUGAAUUUUCAUUUUUAGUCACCUCUUUGCUGUUUGUCUGUGUCUCCAGAGCUGCUCAGUGGCUACCUCAGUGUUCCCACCUAGCGCUGUCACGGUUGUAAGGACUACUAGAAGGGUUUGGAGCUCACACGUCCGCUUCAAAUGUUUCAUCUUUGCCUAGGUGCCUUCCCCUAGAAGUACAGGAAAAUAACGAGGAUAUACUUUCAAAAAUCUUGACUAGUGGAGAGACGCCAGCCCGUUAUCCAGAUUCCUCGCAUCUUGGACAUAAAUUCUCACCCAGCAAUGUGUAUCCUUGUUAACGCUGCCACCUACUGGAAACCACACAUCUUAGCGUCCUCUCGGCAACUACUGCAGCAAAUUCUUACGGAAGACAGUAAAAGCAAGACAGUUGAAAUAAAAAGAUUUCCAGAU